UUUCUCUCCUUUUUAUCAAAUUUCUUUGUAUAUAUUUUGGUAGCAUAAUCUUUGAAUUUUCAGUUUUAAAAUCGUUACUGAAGCUGGAGUUUUUGCUGGAUGGGAAAAAAAUUGAAGUAUGAUAUGUAUAAAUCAUAGUUUCUGAAUUCUGAAUGUUGGCAUAUGUUAUGUUUGUAUCUGAUUUCCUGGAUAAUUUAAUUCUUAGAGUGACAAUUUUGUAAAACAUUACAUGUGAUUGUUCAAGGAAUGAAAAUUCAAUGUGAGAAUUUUUGAAUUUAGUGGCUGAAAACGAAUUAUGUGUGACACUAUUGAUUUUUGCUACUCUGGAAUUGAAGUGAGAGAUUGAAAAAUUCAUGAUAAUUAUGGUAAUUUUAUCACACUCUUGCUACUUGCCUGGAACUUAGCUCGAACCGUUGUAUUCAUGAGGUUGCGAAAUCGAGGUUCAAAUAUCUGUAGAGAGACAGUCCAUUGUUCAUUUUGUAUGAGAUUGUCAGUUGUUACACAAAUUGCUGGUUAUAUAGUUAUUGGCCAUAGGAAUAUAAGAGACAUAAUUCAGUGUGGACUAUAUAGCAAAUCCGAGUUAUUUGCUAGGCAGGAAGUUACCAUUAUCGACUUUAAGUCUAUGAAUUAAGCUGCUUGAUGAUGCCAGAUGGCCAGUAUAAUGUAGUGUGGACAGCCAUAAUGAGUUGGUCUUGCUGAUUAAUGACAGAACUUCCGGCGUGAACCAGAGAUAAUUCAUAUAUCAUCUUGAGAGCUUUAGGUGCGUAUUUAAGCAAUAUUCAUGAAUUAUGAGAACAAAGAUCUUGGUGGAGUACUUGAACGAAGUCUUUUGGAACUAAGAACUAAAAAAUAGCUAACUGGGUCUAGGCUUGGAACUUAAAGAAAAGUUCCAACCUAAAGUACAUUAUUUCUAGCUUCUUUUUCAUUAAACUCAUGUUCCCAAGUACGUUUUAAAAAUGUUCGCCUCUGAUGAUACACACCUGCUUGGCCACACCCUCCUUUCCAGGCCAUUUUGCCUCAGAAAUCUGGUGUCCUGAUAGCUUGUCGUUUUUGUCUUCUGAAUAAUCCCAUCUGUGCAUCACCCCUCCCCCUAGAAAAAGGGAAAGAAGUGAGAGAAGUAGGACAAGAAAUAAGACAUAUGCCAAAAACUACUAGGACAACUUUGCAAAUAGUCAAGAUUACGGAGUCGAUUAUAGAUAGUGCUUAUGAUUCUCCUUUUUUUUUUUUUGCCUUCACUAAAUCACUAUGAUGCAGUAAAAGGAGAGAGAUCCCUUAACCUUGUUUUGCCACCAGUUAACCCCCCAAAACUAUAAAUAAUGUGGAGACAAAUAAUUUGAGGGGUACAUAAGAAACAUAUGAACAUGAGGAUAUGCUGAAUAAGGCACCAAUCUUUAUCCUACUAGCUCAGUGGCUCCUAUUCACCACAGAAAUGCAGAUAAUACUGGCUUUUUGCCAUGAAUAUUUUUUGACCAUAUUGGAUCAUUGUCGUUUUGGGAAAAAAAAACUCAGUCUACCUAUUAUUUCACUGAUUGUCCAACUCAUUUCCCAGUACUUUUUCAUGACAUUCGAAUAUAUAUUGUGUUGUCACUUUAGACAAGUAUUUACUCAGUGGCUGUUUUGCAGUCACUUCUUCCACUUUCGGGGAGAUGGUUCUAAUAGAUAUAGGCAUAUAGCCUUCUCCCUCCUUUUGGUGGAAAGUGAACCAAUCUGUUAAACUAUUCACUAAUUUCUGCAGCUUCAUACAGCUCAAAGCUGCUUUGAAUGUAUAUGAAGUACACUUUUUUUGUUGAUUGCUCUGUAUGUUAUCCUUUUUAACCAACAAAAUAAAAUCUAUGCAGAAAUAAAAAAAAGUUAGAACUUAGAAGCAAAUACUUGCAGGAUUAUAUCGCUUUUCAUUUGAUUGGGUGAUAAUCAGAGUUGACCUGAUCCUACAUUACCAAAACACUGAAUUAACUCUGAUUGAGUUGUUUCGAAAUCCAUUAAAAUCACACAUCUCAUCAUACUGAACUUAGUCCAGUCUAAAACUAAGCUGAAUUCUUGUAUGAUCUGCUGUAACCCAACUCUAGAUUGAUCUGAUUGCCCGAUAGCUGCCUCUAGUACAUCUCUAUACAUAAACACUGCUAGAGGGGGUGCAGCGCUCAAAGUGCUGUCAUACCGUGGCAAACUAAGAACAAAAGAAACAUGAUCAAAUGUUAAACUAUAUUUCUUACUUCUCAUGGCCCGUUUGGUAGUUGGCAACAAAUGGGGGUUAUAGUAAUGAAUUCAUAUGUAAUUUUUGUAUUGAAAGUUUAAUUGUCAAUGACCAAUUGACCAUGGUAAUGAUUAUUUAUUCGAGAAUGGACAAGCAUUACCAUGAAUAUUUGGAUGAGACUUUACUCACAAAUGUAAAUCAAUAAUACCUACCAAACAAGCUGUCAAAGUAAUCCAUUGCACAAAUUGUACAACAAUUGUCUAUAAAGAUUUUCUCCUUGAAACUUCUGAGGCCCGCGAGUUUGUAACUUGAGACUUGGCAGAAAAGAUUACAGUAAACGAUCAUCUAGAAUUCUUAAAGAAACCCGUUCAAGGAGCAACAUCUUUGUAACAUCAGAGUCUUUGUCCACCCUCUUACAGCCAUAAGCUGUCUCGUGCCACAUCUAUGUUAGCUGAUGAUACCAUACGAGGGAAAGAAAAUACAUAGUGGCUGCGAGACUCUUGAGGUUUUUUCUACUGCACUACUGAUAACUUAGAUUUUAUAUUUAAUGAUUACUACUAACAACUUAUCAUCCACAUUGUACUUGCAACCCAUUUGAACAACCUUUCUUUAUCUAUUUAUCUGUUUCUUAGAAUAGAACUGUUCAAGCUGCCGAUGUCUGACAAGUUGGAGAAGCUCUAAGUGGGAACUUUCAGUAGAUUUGUCCAGAGGAAGAUUAACAUACAGGCAGCAGUAAAUAGAUUGAAAGCGUUCAGGCCUAGCACAUACUACUGUCUACAGGGUUAGGAUAAGGGUACCAUGCAAGUUUACGAAGCACAGCAAUACAGAAAGCUGAUUUUUACAGCCUUAGUGUACAAUUUAGAUGAAUUUCUUGUGAAGCGGAAUUGCACGAAGUCGCUGAGCUUUCUCCAAGCUGAUCCCAAAGUUUUCCUCCAUAUCUAUAUUCUCUGGUGAAACCCCAGCUUCUGGCUCCCAAUCAAAUCCAUGAAUUAGUGAUCCCAGUACGAAAGGGAUCAUUCGAAUAGCCAAUGGCAGUCCAGGGCAGAUCCUACGGCCAGCACCAAAUGGAAUCAGUUCAAAAUCGUGGCCUCUGACAUCAAUUUCCAUUUUCAGAAAUCUCUCUGGCUCAAAACAUUCAGGAUUGUCCCACAAGUUGUGAUCUCUCCCGAUCGCCCAUACAUUGAUUAAAACUCGUGUGUUUUUGGGUACAGUAAAGCCACAGAGCUGCACAUCAGUAUCAGCUUUUCUGGGCAACAGAAGAGGUGCUGGCGGAUGUAGUCUUAAGGUUUCCUUGACAGUUGCCUGCAAGUAUGGAAGUCGGCAUAAGUCGGAUUCUUCUACUGGAUUUCCUUUUCCAAUGAUUUCUUCGAGCUCUGCUUGUGCCUUUUUCAGCUUUUUUGGAUUCUUUAGAAGUUCUGUCAUUGCCCAUUCAAUGGUAGUUGAUGUUGUGUCAGUACCUGCAUUAAUUAUAUCCUGCAGAAACGAAACAUCACUACUUUGGAGUAAGGCAAAGAAACAUAAUAGUAGUUUAGACUAUACCAGUAGUUGAUGGGGGAUUUUUGAAGGUUCCAUAAGUUCCUGAUUUUUGUCAUGAUGACUUAUCCCGAGCAAUGCAUCUAGAACAUCAUAGCCUUGUAUUGAAGAUGACGGCCUCUUUCCCUGCAAUCGUUGAUCAAUUAUAAUCUUGAGAAGGUCCAUCACCUUCUUGGAGAGAACAGUGGCACGCCGCCUGAUGCCUUGUGGGUCAAUCUUCUGCAAGAUGGGAAAAUGAUCUGCAAAAUUGGGUUUACCAACUUCUUCCAACGAACUUCUUAUUGUCUCUCGUAGUUCACAAGCAUAUUCAGAACUCGGGUCACCCAAAUCCAUUGAAAAAAAAGCACUUGAUAACAAAUUGAGGGAAGUGGUGAACGUGACUUGGCCAAUAUCCACUGCUUUACCACCUUUGCUGCUGCUCCUCUCAACAAACGUAAGGAGAUCAUUAAUCUUAUCUCUUCGGAGGCUUUGGGUUUCAUCCAGUUUGCUGGGAGAGAAAACUAACGAAUUGCAUACUUUGCGAAGAUUCCGCCAUUCAGAUGAUGUAGCCGGCAACCAACCAAUGGAAUAUUGAUGGUGGUUGAGUGCACGGAUAGCAUCAACAACAUAGCGAUUGGCUAAGGACUGAUCAUUCUUCUAAUGGGCUUCUUUAGCCCCGGCUGCUGAAGAAAUGACAACUGUAGGCACUUGGCCGAGCUUCAGCAUCAUCAAAGGGCCAUAUCUUUUGGCAAGUUCAGUCAAGGAGAUAUGCGGUUUGUUGCCGAGGCAUAAGAGGUUCCCAAAGAUGGGCAAUGGAUAAGGACCUGGUGGAAUAUUUCUUGGUUUUGAGAGUUUCUUAGCAGUUGAGAGAAGGAGGUGGAUUGUAACCCAUGUUAAAACAACAUAUAUCACAAAGCUCAGGUAAUUCAUGGAUCUCUACAACUCUUGAGUUAUCUUUGCCUUUUUGUUUGUGUUUGUGAGUUUUUUCUUGUUGACUUGGUGCCUGAACAUGUAUUCUUAUUUCUUCUCACACUGACACAGUUAUAUAGUAUAUACAAAAAAUAACAAGCACUUGCUGCUUAAUGAACUACUAUAAAAGAUUUCCCUAUAUUUCUUUCUCAUAAA